ensembl:snRNA U6 U6 spliceosomal RNA
CUGUGGUGCUCGCUUCAGCUAUACUAAAAUUGGAACGAUACAGAGAUUAGCAUCGCCCCUGCGCAAGGAUGACACACAAAUUCGUGAAGCAUUCCAUAUUUAA